UACGUAGGGGGCAAGCGUUGUCCGGAAUUAUUGGGCGUAAAGCGCGCGCAGGCGGUUGGUUAAGUUUGGUGUUUAAGCCCGAGGCUCAACCUCGGUUCGCAUCGAAAACUGGCUGACUGGAGUGUAGGAGAGGAAAGUGGAAUUCCACGUGUAGCGGUGAAAUGCGUAGAGAUGUGGAGGAACACCAGUGGCGAAGGCGACUUUCUGGCCUAUAACUGACGCUGAGGCGCGAAAGCGUGGGGAGCAAACAGG
rnacentral:rRNA from 1 species